GAUGAACGCUGGCGGCGUGCCUAAUACAUGCAAGUCGAGCGAACAGACGAGGAGCUUGCUCCUCUGACGUUAGCGGCGGACGGGUGAGUAACACGUGGAUAACCUACCUAUAAGACUGGGAUAACUUCGGGAAACCGGAGCUAAUAUCGGAUAAUAUAUUGAACCGCAUGGUUCAAUAGUGAAAGACGGUUUUGCUGUCACUUAUAGAUGGAUCCGCGCCGCAUUAGCUAGUUGGUAAGGUAACGGCUUACCACGGCGACGAUGCGUAGCCGACCUGAGAGGGUGAUCGGCCACACUGGAACUGAGACACGGUCCAGACUCCUACGGGAGGCAGCAGUAGGGAAUCUUCCGCAAUGGGCGAAAGCCUGACGGAGCAACGCCGCGUGAGUGAUGAAGGUCUUCGGAUCGUAAAACUCUGUUAUUAGGGAAGAACAAAUGUGUAAGUAACUAUGCACGUCUUGACGGUACCUAAUCAGAAAGCCACGGCUAACUACGUG
rnacentral:rRNA from 1 species